UUUUAAAUACCUAACCUUUAGUUUUUGUCUCAAAUUUAUCCGGUGAUCGGAUUUUUCUUACGCCGGCGCCGAAAAUUAUAAGGUGGCAGCCGGAAUCGAUGCAGUGGCAGCCGGAAAGUGACACCUAAGCAAAUUUAGGACAUGUAGGAAAAAAAUAAAAAAAAUGAUAAAGAAAACAUCCACAUCAUCAUCUUCUCCAUUCUCCCACCUCCCAAACCCUAACUUUCCCCCCCGCCGGCGCCGCCUGCCGCCACCACACGCCGGCGCCGGCAGCACAUUCCCCCUCCCUAGACCCGUCGGCCUCCCCCUCCCCAGACCCCGUC
rnacentral:lncRNA from 1 species